GACGAACGCUGGCGGCGUGCUUAACACAUGCCAGUCGAACGCUGAAGCUUGGUGCUUGCACUGGGUGGAUGAGUGGCGAACGGGUGAGUAAUACGUGAGUAACCUGCCCUUGACUCUGGGAUAAGCCUGGGAAACUGGGUCUAAUACUGGAUAUGACAUGCCACUGCAUGGUGGUGUGUGGAAAGGGUUUUACUGGUUUUGGAUGGGCUCACGGCCUAUCAGCUUGUUGGUGGGGUAAUGGCCUACCAAGGCGACGACGGGUAGCCGGCCUGAGAGGGUGACCGGCCACACUGGGACUGAGACACGGCCCAGACUCCUACGGGAGGCAGCAGUGGGGAAUAUGGCACAAUGGGCGGAAGCCUGAUGCAGCGACGCCGCGUGAGGGAUGACGGCCUUCGGGUUGUAAACCUCUUUCAGCACGGAAGAAGCGAGAGUGACGGUACGUGCAGAAGAGGCGCCGGCUAACUACGUG
rnacentral:rRNA from 1 species